UGGAGUUCUAAGCCAAGGGGCCAGCAUAACCUCUGAGACUGGGGUGCAGGGCUCCAGGGAAAGAACACCUCAACGAGGAGACCCUUGUAGGGCCCCAGCAGAUAGGAAUGAUUAUUCAUAUCCUGCUGUCUGGCAGGUCUGAAUAAGUCCAUCAGUGCAGGCUGCAGCUGCAUUGCCAGCAGGCUGCAUUGCCUCAGCUGCAGCGCCAGACUUUGAGGCCCCACUUUCUCAGGUGAGAACUCAGUGGGAAGGGGCCACUUACAAGCCAGGAAGAGAGCCCUCAUCAGAAACCAACCCCAGCCACACCUUGAUCUUGUGCUACCAGCCUCCAGAAUGUAUAUACUCAAGAGUGGAAUUGCUGAAUAAUAUGAGAAUUCUAUGUUUAAUUUUUUGAGGACCAUCAAAUUAUUUUCCACAGCAACUGUACCAUCUCACAUUCCUAUCAGCAAUGCAUGAGGGUCUCAGUUUCUCUACAACACUGAUUUUCUGCUUUUUGAUAGCAGCCAUCCUGCUAGGUUUGGAAGAUCGCUGACAGAAAGGAAACACAUAACGCAAUGAAACUGGAAUCUGGCUGAGCUGGAAAGAAGCAGGGGUUGAAGUAGAUGUUGAAGGUCGAAGAAGGAAGGAAGCCCACAUAUACAAACUCAUUGUGUCUGUGAGCUUCAUCCAUGAGCUUCUACCUGCAUGUGGACUUAGAAAUGACUGGCCAGUGAUAGAGCCAAAGCAGACUGCUGUGACAGCUCCUUCCUCCCUCACAAGUUCACCCCCAGACACAAAAACUUCCAGAGUUCCACAGAGUUUGCCAGCCUCUUCUGUCUCUUCAAACACGUGGAGGAAUUUGCCAGCAGCCAGGAGUACAGAGAUCCACCCUUAAGAGCCCUAUGAUGGAUGCUGGGAAGGAUCCAGAAAGGCAGGAGAGGCCUAAGCAGAGCUCCUAGUUUGAUCAUGAAGCUGAACCAGAGAAAUUUGGAGAAAAUGUCUUUCCGGGUGACACUUCCCAUUUCCCAGUGACUCCACAUGUCCCUGAUCAGAUCCCAUCUGGAAGCAAGCUGACACGUUCAAUGAGCUCUUCCUCUGUAGCAAGUAACCUUCACAGGAGGAGUGGCAACAACACAGCAAGUCAUCCUCCAAUGAAGCUCUGCCUCAGGAAGUGACUUAAUCCCAACCUCCCCAAACUCAAAUUCUCACCAACGUUCUCCUCCACCUCUCCUACCCAGAAGAUGAAUGGGCCUUCAAUUUGACAAUGGUGGAACAGCUCCUUUCUGCACAUCUACCCCUGUCUGUCCUUUGUGAAGAGACAAAAUCAUUGCUUCUCUAAAUGGGCUUACAUGAGCUAGAAAUAAAAGGAUUUUAAGACCAG